rnacentral:rRNA from 1 species
UAGAGAAUAUUGGUCAAUGGGUGAGAGCCUGAACCAGCCAUGCAGCGUGCAGGAAGACGGCCUUCUGGGUUGUAAACUGCUUUUACCAGGGGAUAAAAAAGCCUUGCGAGGCAAAUUGAAGGUACCUGGAGAAUAAGCACCGGCUAACUACGUGCCAGCAGCCGCGGUAAUACGUAGGGUGCAAGCGUUGUCCGGAUUUAUUGGGUUUAAAGGGUGCGUAGGCGGGCUAUUAAGUCAGUGGUGAAAUCCAACAGCUCAACUGUUGAUGUGCCAUUGAUACUGGUAGCCUUGAGUACAGAUGAGGUAGGCGGAAUUGACAGUGUAGCGGUGAAAUGCAUAGAUAUUGUCAAGAACUCCGAUAGCGAAGGCAGCUUACUGGACUGUAACUGACGCUGAUGCACGAAAGUGUGGGGAUCAAACAGGAUUAGAUACCCUGGUAGUCCACACUGUAAACGUUGAUGACUCGCUGUUGGCGAUAUACAGUACGCGGGCUUAGAGCAAUCGUUAAGUCAUCCACCUGGGGAGUACGCCGGCAACGGUGA